rnacentral:rRNA from 1 species
AGUAACGCGUAGGUAAUCUACCCCAAUAUCUGGGAUAACAGACCGAAAGGUUUGCUAAUACCGGAUACCCUUUAUUUGUCGCGAGAUAUGUAAAGGAAAGGUGACCUCUGAUUAAGUUACCGUAUAGGGAUGAGCCUGCGUACCAUUAGCUUGCUGGUGGGGUAAUGGCCUACCAAGGCUACAAUGGUUAGCGGGUCUGAGAGGAUGAUCCGCCACACUGGAACUGGAACACGGACCAG